rnacentral:rRNA from 1 species
AUACGUAGGGGACGAGCGUUGUCCGGAAUUACUGGGCGUAAAGGGCGCGCAGGCGGAUAUUUAAGUCAGCUGUAAAAGGCAUGAGCUCAACUCAUGUAUGCGGUUGAAACUGGGUAUCUAGAGUGCUGGAGAGGUAGGCGGAAUUCCCGGUGUAGCGGUGAAAUGCGUAGAUAUCGGGAAGAACACCAGUGGCGAAGGCGGCUUACUGGCCAGCAACUGACGCUGAGGCGCGAAAGCCAGGGGAGCGAACGGGAUUAGAUACCCCGGUAGUCCUGGCAGUAAACGAUGUAUGCUGGGUGUGAGACUAGCGAUAGUUUCGUGCCGAAGUUAACGCGAUAAGCAUACCGCCUGGGGUGUACGGUCGCAAGAUUGAAACUCAAAUGAAUUGGCGGGG